AGCAGGACAGAGUGUAGGCGCUGGCCGCCAUGUUGAGCGCUUUGUGUAGUUAUAAAUAAAGAUCGGCGGACUUCCGGGCGGUGUAUUGGUUGGUAGCCGUGACAGUUUGAAUUUCUUUUUGUGGGGGGGAAGUCGAUUUACGGUUUGGUUGGAAGCUCUUGAUUUCACCCGAGGCUCAACCUGAACCGGGAGCCAUGAGAGAGAUGUUCACGAAUGGCCAUCUGGAGGUCCAGCCUCAGAGAAGCUAUGGCAUUACCUCCCCAAUUAGUUGGGCUGGUCCCAAAGACCUUGAUCACCUCUACACCCAGAAGCUGAUGGAAGCCAUGAGACCUUUUGGAGUUUUUGAAGAUGAUGAAGAACUCCGUCACAGGAUGUUUGUUCUGGGAAAACUGAACAAUUUAGUCAAAGAAUGGAUUGCUGAACUUGGGGAAUGUAAGAGUAUCCCGCCCACUAUAAUAUCUGCUUCUGGGGGAAAGAUCUUCACUUUUGGUUCCUAUCGCCUCGGGGUGCACACUAAAGGUGCUGAUAUUGAUGCCCUCUGCGUUUCUCCCAGACAUGUAGAGCGUUCAGAUUUUUUUCAGUCCUUUGUUGAAAAGCUGAAACUUCAGGAGGGGAUAAGAAAUGUCCGGGCUGUUGAGGACGCCUUUGUUCCUGUAAUAAAGUUUGAAUUCUUUAAUAUUGAGAUUGAUUUGGUUUUUGCAAGACUACCCUUACAAUGUAUCCCUGAUAAUUUGGACUUGCGUGAAGAUUCAUGGUUAAGAAGUUUAGAUAUAAGGUGCAUAAGAAGCUUAAAUGGUUGCAGAGUUACAGAUGAAAUUUUGCAUCUAGUACCAAAUAAAGAAAAUUUCAGAUUAACUUUGAGAGCCGUCAAGCUAUGGGCAAAGAAACGUGGAAUUUAUUCUAACAUGUUGGGCUUUCUCGGUGGAGUUUCGUGGGCAAUGUUGGUAGCUAGGACUUGUCAGUUGUACCCAAAUGCGGUUGCAUCUACUCUUGUCCAUAAGUUUUUCCUUGUGUUUUCUAAGUGGGAAUGGCCUAAUCCAGUAUUACUAAAACAGCCAGAAGAAAGCAACCUAAAUCUGCCUGUUUGGGACCCCCGAGUAAACCCAGCUGACCGAUAUCACCUCAUGCCUAUAAUUACUCCAGCAUAUCCUCAGCAAAAUUCCACAUACAACGCUUCAACCUCAACCCGCACAAUUAUGGUAGAAGAAUUUAGACACGGUCUUGCUGUCACAGACGAGAUCCUCCAAGGCAAGGUGGACUGGUCUAAAUUGUUUGAACCGCCAAACUUUUUUCAGAAGUACAAGCAUUAUAUUGUGCUGACUGCCAGUGCAUUCUCUGAAGAACACCAUCUGGAAUGGGUUGGUUUAGUUGAAUCAAAAAUCCGUGUUCUGGUGGGAAACUUGGAGAGGAACGAGUUCAUUACACUUGCACAUGUGAAUCCUCAGUCUUUUGCUGGAGGUCAAGAUCACUGUAAAGAUGAUGAGUUUAUGUCCAUGUGGUUUCUUGGAAUCAUUUUUAAGAAAGUGGAGAAUGCCGAAAGUGUCAACAUAGACUUAACACAUGAUAUACAGUCUUUCACAGACACGGUUUACAGACAGGCCAACAAUAUUAACCUGCUGAAAAAGGGAAUGACGAUUGAAGCCACUCAUGUGAGGAGGAAACAACUCCACCAGUAUCUUCCUCCAGAAGCUCUACAGAAGAGGAAGAAGCAAAGUGUUGCGGAAAUCACCAAGUUGUCUUCUGGUGUUUUAUCAAAGCGAUCAUCCUUGGAUGGUAACUGUCUGGACAGUUCUAGAGAUACAGAUACAGGGACGCCAUGUGAGUCUCCAACAUCCAGUCAUCCAACAUGCCAAAAAACGUCUAGAUCGAACAGUCCUACUCUGCAAGAAGUGCUCAGGAAACCUGUAUCCGAGAACGCUCCAGCAAAUCACUUCCCUUCCAUACAGAAACAAGUGCCUACAAAUACCACUUGGGGACAGACCAUUCCUGUUAUUGGAUCAAAGUCGGAUCAUGCUAUCGCAGUGACCACCCCAAGUCCCACAACCUGCACAAUCCCAACUGUAAUAGGCCUUAAUGUUGUACCACCCCUUCCAUCACUGCCUAACCUCCCUCAGGGACAUCCUCACAGUGAAAUGGUAAAUAUAAGCCCUAAAAGUGCUGCAGCUAAGCGGACGCAUCCUCCAAGCCUAGAAGAGUCUCCAAAGCGAUUGAAGGAUACAGAAAAGCUCCUGGGAGACUCUGCGUUUGUGCAGCCGUCUGAUCCUGAAACGGAGGAAAGAAAAGCCGUGGUAAGCCGGGUACUAUGUAGUUAAGUAGUAUUAAGUAGUUAACGUUAUUCAGCUUGUAGAUAGGCGCUGGUAUGCAAUGUAUGUGGAAGCAUGUGUGUAGUACACUUAUAUUCUAUCCACAUACGUUCAUGGCAUGGGUGUAUAUAAUUAAUAUAGGUAGAAAUUCCAGGAGUGUGCUAGCUUAUGGGAUAAUCUAAGAAUGACGGGGUCUCUUUGUUGCCCCCUUCCCUCUCCCUUGAACCUCUUGUUUUACAGGAAAGAAUAAUUGUUGGUGAAGCGAUGCCCAUUCCUACCAUUGACCGGGCUAGAUCACAGGUACUAUCUAUGAAAUCUAUAUAUUCACAUUGGUGAAAGUACCUGUGAAUCUUCACAAGGGGUGAAUUAAAGGUGCUUCUCUUUACUCGACUGCUAUGUACAGUACUUUCUAAUGGCUCAUUUUUAAAUGUCCAGUUUUUAUUUUCCCUGUAUGCAUAUUUUGUUGGCUAUACGAUGGCAGUUAGAACUUGCACUGUGGUGUUAAAAUCUACAUUACGAGUUUUAAUAUCAACCUGAUGUUUUAAUCUGUUUAUAGAGGCUACCCAGUAAAGAGCUGCCAGAUGCAUCUUCUCCUGUGCCAACCAGUAAUAUUCGAGUCAUUAAAAAUUCUAUCAGACUAACUCUAAACCGGUAACUACUCCUGCGUGAUCUGUAAAGCCAUAACGGAGCAGUUAUAUUGCAUUCAGUUUAUCCUGUCAUUAUUGUAAAAAGCUGUACAAAAUCAAUCAUGAAUUCUGUAUGUUAAAGGGGGGAUUGAUCACUUUGCGCAUGCUUAUGGGUAGUGCCAAAGCCUUGCUGGAACAAAGACCCCCAUUUGUUGUCUGUCCUCUUCGUCCCCAUCCUUGACAGUGACUGUGUAUCCAUCAAGAGCAAUCAUUUCUGUUGGUGGCAUCUGCUCUGCUGUCAAAUGAUGCAAUCUACAGAGGACGUCUUAAAGAAACACUUGCCCAAAAUUGUGGAAUAAUACGGGUUUCUCCCCUAUAUCACACAUUGCCAUGAUAUUCUACAUAUAGUUUUAUAUCCCUUUUAGAGUGUUUGCCUUUUUGGGUUUUUUGUAUAAAAUGAUAAAAAGAAAAAAAAAAUCUAUAAAAAAGGGGGCUUUUUGGAUUUUACAUCUUUAAAGGGGUUUUCCCAUCUCAGACAAUGGGGGCAUAUCGCUAGGAUAUGCCCCCAUUGUCUGAUGGGUGCCGGUCCCACUGCUGGGACCCGCACCUACAAUGAGAACCCGGCGGAGAAAUAAACGAAGGGUACACUGCGCAGCCGCCCUUCAUUCAUUUCUAUGGGGCUGCCGAAAAUAGCUCGGCUAUUGCUGUCUGCCCCAUAGAAAUGAAUGGGAGCAUGGGCCCACGCAUGCGCGGUGCGCUCCCGUUCCCGGGAAAGGGGUCCUCCUGCCACAGC